rnacentral:tRNA from 1 species
CCCUGGUUAGCUCAGUUGGUAGAGCGCUCCACUUGUAAUGGAGAGGUCCCGGGUUCGAUACCCGGGCCAGGCG